rnacentral:rRNA from 1 species
GACGUAGGGCGCGAGCGUUGUCCGGAUUUAUUGGGCGUAAAGAGCUCGUAGGCGGCUUGUUACGUCGACUGUGAAAACCCGCGGCUCAGCUGCGGGCCUGCAGUCGAUACGGGCAGGCUAGAGUUCGGUAGGGGAGACUGGAAUUCCUGGUGUAGCGGUGAAAUGCGCAGAUAUCAGGAGGAACACCAAUGGCGAAGGCAGCUCGCUGGGACGGUACUGACGCUGAGACGCGAAAGCGUGGGGAGCAAACAGG